rnacentral:rRNA from 1 species
UACAGAGGUCCCAAGCGUUGUUCGGAUUCAUUGGGCGUAAAGGGUGCGUAGGCGGCGCGGUAAGUCGGGUGUGAAAUCUCGGAGCUUAACUCCGAAACUGCAUUCGAUACUGCCGUGCUUGAGGACUGGAGAGGAGACUGGAAUUUACGGUGUAGCAGUGAAAUGCGUAGAUAUCGGGAGGAAUACCGAUGGCGAAGGCAGGUCUCUGGGCUGACACUGACGCUCAUGCACGAAAGCGUGGGGAGCAAACAGG